rnacentral:rRNA from 1 species
AUAGAUCCUGAAACCGUGUGCUUACAAAAAGUAGGAGCCUCGCAAGGGGUGACUGCGUACCUUUUGUAUAAUGGGUCAGCGACUUACAUUCAGUGGCAAGGUUAACCGAAUAGGGAAGCCGUAGAGAAAUCGAGUCCGAAUAGGGCGUCAUAGUCGCUGGGUGUAGACCCGAAACCAAGUGAUCUAUCCAUGGGCAGGAUGAAGGUGCCGUAACAGGUACUGGAGGUCCGAACCGACUAAUGUUGCAAAAUUAGCGGAUGACCUGUGGAUAGGGGUGAAAGGCUAAACAAACUUGGAAAUAGCUGGUUCUCUCCGAAAACUAUUUAGGUAGUGCCUCAAGUAUUACCGACGGGGGUAGAGCACUGUUUUGGCUAGGGGGUCAUGGCGACUUACCAAACCAAGGCAAACUCCGAAUACCGUCGAGUACAGCUUGGGAGACAGAGCACCGGGUGCUAACGUCCGGACUCAAGAGGGAAACAACCCAGACCGCCAGCUAAGGUCCCUAAAAUUGGCUAAGUGGGAAACGAAGUGGGAAGGCUAAAACAGUCAGGAUGUUGGCUUAGAAGCAGCCAUCAUUUAAAGAAAGCGUAAUAGCUCACUGAUCGAGUCGUCCUGCGCGGAAGAUGUAACGGGGCUAAGCCAGUUACCGAAGCUGCGGAUUUGCAAUUUAUUGCAAGUGGUAGGAGAGCGUUCUGUAGGCCUGUGAAGGUGUCUUGUAAAGGAUGCUGGAGGUAUCAGAAGUGCGAAUGCUGACAUGAGUAGCGUUAAAGGGGGUGAAAAGCCCCCUCGCCGUAAGCGCAAGGUUUUCUACGCAACGUUCAUCGGCGUAGAGUGAGUCGGCCCCUAAGGCGAGGCAGAGAUGCGUAGCUGAUGGGAAACAGGUCAAUAUUCCUGUACCGAUUACAAGUGCGAUGUGGGGACGGAGAAGGUUAGCUCAGCCAACUGUUGGAUAUGUUGGUUCAAGCCUGUAGUCAUGCCCGGUAGGCAAAUCCGCCGGGCUUAGAUGAGGGGUGAUAAGGAGUGUGCUUGCACACGAACUGAGUGAUACCCUGCUUCCAGGAAAAGCCACUAAGCUUCAGCUUGUAACGACCGUACCGCAAACCGACACUGGUGCGCGAGAUGAGUAUUCUAAGGCGCUUGAGAGAACUCUGGAGAAGGAACUCGGCAAAUUGAUACCGUAACUUCGGGAGAAGGUAUGCCCCUAGUAGGUGAACUCGAACAGAGGGAGCCCAAUGGGGUUGCAAAAAAUCGGUGGCUGCGACUGUUUAAUAAAAACACAGCACUCUGCAAACACGAAAGUGGACGUAUAGGGUGUGACGCCUGCCCGGUGCUGGAAGAUUAAAUGAUGGGGUGCAAGCUCUUGAUUGAAGUCCCAGUAAACGGCGGCCGUAACUAUAACGGUCCUAAGGUAGCGAAAUUCCUUGUCGGGUAAGUUCCGACCUGCACGAAUGGCGUAACGAUGGCCACACUGUCUCCUCCAGAGACUCAGCGAAGUUGAAAUGUUUGUGAUGAUGCAAUCUCCCCGCGGAAAGACGGAAAGACCCCAUGAACCUUUACUGUAGCUUUGUAUUGGACUUUGAACAGAUCUGUGUAGGAUAGGUGGGAGGCUUUGAAGCCGGAACGCUAGUUUCGGUGGAGCCAACGUUGAAAUACCACCCUGGUGUGUUUGAGGUUCUAACCUAGGUCCAUUAUCUGGAUCGGGGACAGUGCAUGGUAGGCAGUUUGACUGGGGCGGUCUCCUCCCAAAGUGUAACGGAGGAGUUCGAAGGUACGCUAGUUACGGUCGGACAUCGUGAUAAUAGUGCAAUGGCAUAAGCGUGCUUAACUGCGAGACUGACAAGUCGAGCAGAUGCGAAAGCAGGACAUAGUGAUCCGGUGGUUCUGUAUGGAAGGGCCAUCGCUCAACGGAUAAAAGGUACUCUGGGGAUAACAGGCUGAUACCGCCCAAGAGUUCAUAUCGACGGCGGUGUUUGGCACCUCGAUGUCGGCUCAUCUCAUCCUGGGGCUGUAGCCGGUCCCAAGGGUAUGGCUGUUCGCCAUUUAAAGAGGUACGUGAGCUGGGUUUAAAACGUCGUGAGACAGUUUGGUCCCUAUCUUCCGUGGGCGCUG